rnacentral:rRNA from 1 species
GACGAACGCUGGCGGCGUGCUUAACACAUGCAAGUCGAACGGAAAGGCCCUGCUUUUGUGGGGUGCUCGAGUGGCGAACGGGUGAGUAACACGUGAGUAACCUGCCCUUGACUUUGGGAUAACUUCAGGAAACUGGGGCUAAUACCGGAUAGGAGCUCCUGUUGCAUGGUGGGGGUUGGAAAGUUUCGGCGGUUGGGGAUGGACUCGCGGCUUAUCAGCUUGUUGGUGGGGUAGUGGCUUACCAAGGCUUUGACGGGUAGCCGGCCUGAGAGGGUGACCGGCCACAUGGGGACUGAGAUACGGACCAGACGCCUACGGGAGGCAGCAGUGGGGAAUAUUGCACAAUGGGCGGAAGCCUGAGGCAGCAACGCCGCGUGCGGGAUGACGGCCUUCGGGUUGUAAACCGCUUUCGCCUGUGACGAAGCGUGAGUGACGGUAAUGGGUAAAGAAGCACCGGCUAACUACGUG